UACGGGGGGGGGCAAGCGUUGUUCGGAAUUACUGGGCGUAAAGGGCUCGUAGGUGGCCAACUAAGUCGGACGUGAAAUCCCUCGGCUUAACCGGGGAACUGCGUCUGAUACUGGAUGGCUUGAGUUUGGGAGAGGGAUGCGGAAUUCCAGGUGUAGCGGUGAAAUGCGUAGAUAUCUGGAGGAACACCGGUGGCGAAGGCGGCAUCCUGGACCAACACUGACGCUGAGGAGCGAAAGCCAGGGGAGCAAAGCGGG
rnacentral:rRNA from 1 species